GCUGUCUUGAUUUAAUAGUUGUUUCAUAUACGCAAAGGCCGUCGGGUUUUAAAUCCAUUAUAAAAUCAAUAUUUAAAACAAACUUAACUUCGUUUACGUCGGCUCCCUGCUUUUAGCUUAUUCUUUCGCCCUUUCUUUAUGAGAAAAGUUUUGAAAUUUACAAAAUCUUGCAAAAAUGCGAGCAAAAAAUUUAUCAAUCAUCAAAUCAAGAAAUAUUUGCUAUUUCGCUGUCGUCAUGCAGUCGUUAUAAUGCAAACUUUAAACUGGACCAAUCAGUGUCCGCUAUUCAUGACAGUCCGCCAUAUUUAUGAGUUCAGUGAGGAUGACCACCCAUGAACGAUGAACGGUGAGCCAUGCGCCCGCGUUAUUUGAUGAACUUUAGACUUCUCGAUUGCUUUCGUUUCCCCGGGUGUAAAUAGCCGGGGGGGAAUUUGUACCCUCACACGGCGCUUCGCGCCGUCGGCUCGGGGAUAAUUGAGCCAUAUGGGCCCAUAUUCACUGUCACCCCUUAUCCCCGAGCCGACGGCGCAAAGCGUCGUGCGAGAAUACUAAUUCCCCCCGGCUAUUUACAUUCGGGGAAAUGAAAGCAUUAGCGAAGUCUAAAGUUCAUCAAUUAUCGCGGGCGUGGGUGACCAACGAUGGGUGGUCAUCCUCACUGAUCUCAAAAAUAUGGCAGACUGUCAUGAAUAGCGGUCACUGAUUGGCCCAAUUUAAAGUUG